GACCGAGAAAAGGAAUGGUAAGUAAUCCGGCCUUGACGAGACUGAAUUGGAAUCAGAGUCCUUCAAGGAAGAGGAAGAAAUAUAAUAUCUGCAAUGUUAUGAUUUGAUGUCUGAUGGUAACAGGGAGGAGCGUCGGCAUCUGGAACAUUUAAAGCUGGAAAGCGCCAGAGAGACGGAGCUUCUUCAAAAUGGCUCUGCCACUGUGGCUCGGGGUGGUGAUGCUGGCAGGCCGGGGUGUUUGGGCUUCCACAACUUCGAGUCCACCUACAAACACGUCUGAAGCGGCCGCCCUCGUCCCGGUGACUCUCUUCUACGUCCAGUACGCCUUCAACGUGAUGCUUUUGCCGGUUCUGAACACCUCGCACAUCCUGGAGUUCACCGAACAGACGGACGUGAUCGCUUCUGUGUUCAACCAAGUAUACCAAUCUGAGUUUGGAGAGCAGUUUUUGAGCGGAGUCGUGGUCGAUAUCAGGAUCAACUCCAGCUCUGUAGAAAUUGACAUGGAGCUGCUGUUCGCCGAACUCACUCCCAAACCCAUCCCUGUGGGCGAGGACAUUGUGGGGACACUGAAACAAGUUCUGCAGGUGCUGCUGAUGGACAUCAUUUCCAUUAACUUCCUGAGUGCACCACAAAUCACAUCUAAUGUGGAGUUCAUCACCAAUGAAACUUUUCAUCCUGAUCUGAAGAAGUCCAGUUCAGCUGCUUUCAAGACCAGAUCGUCCCUCAUUAAGAAGGAGCUCGAACCAUUCUUCAUGGCCGACUUCUCUCCAGGCUUCAUCUGUUUGUCUGUACGGAAUUUGAGCAACGGAUCGAUUGUCCACGACACAGAUCUAAUCUUCACCGCCGGUGCUGCACUCCCCAGCAGCUCAGCCGUCUUCAACACCAUGUUCAAGGCAGCGAACAGCGGCAACUUGACCUUCAACGUCAUCUCCAUAAAUGGCACAGCAACUGCAAGUUCGGCGUCCCAAGCGUGGACAACGAAGGAGUCUCCUGGUCCUCGUCCGUCCCCAACGUUCACGCUUCAAGUUGUCUUCUCGAUUGGCUUUCUACUCAACGAGACCCAGAUUGUAGAGUUGACUGAUUUCGAUCUGGUGUCUGCAGUGUUUUACCAAGUGUACCAGGCACAAUAUGGAGACCAGUUCCUAGAAGAUGUUGUGAAGAGAAUCAGGAUCAACUCCACCUCUCUGGAGAUUCUGGUGGACCUGGUGUUCGACCCGAACUCCCCGCAACCUGUCCCCCAGAGCGCUGAUAUUGUGAGGACGCUGAGACAAGCUGUGUGGAGUUACGUGACGGACCUUUUCUCCAUCACAGUGAUAAAUGAGGUCCCUCUUCUGGUUGAUCCACCCACUCUGAACAUCACCGAGCCUAACAGCACAACCAACACCAACGUCUCCACCACCAGCGUCUCCACCACCACUCCCACCCAGCCUGCAAUGACCACCACAGAGCCCCCAAGCACCAAUGAGCGGAACGCCGCCACCACCACUACCCAGACGGUUCCCAGCAUUCCCACUGAGCCAAAGAACCCCAGUGGCACCACCACAACCACCCAGCCAGUUAAAAGCACAACCAGUGUCACCAGCGGGCCCGUGACCACCACAGGGGCCUCAAACCAAAUCGACCAGCCAUUAACCACCACCUCUGGACCUCUGGUGACCAGCAACCAGCUUUUAACUACCACUUCUACAACGGCAAGUCCAGAAGCGGCCACCACGGCUGCGCCACCACGCCCUUCUCCGGUCUUCAUACUCCAGGUUGCAGUGAACAUAGUCUUCACACCUGCGCUCAGUAACCCGGACAGUGAAGAGUUCAAGACAGAGGCCGCUGCGGUCGCUGGAGAGUUUGACAGGGUCUACAAGGCGAAGUACGGCCCACGGUUUGUCAGGAGCCAAGUGACCGGUUUCAGCGUACGGUCGCGAGCUGACGUGGUGGAGGCUCAAGUGAGGCUGGUGUUCAGCGGGGACUCCGCGGUGACCCCGCCGCCAGCCGGGGACGUCGUGAACACGCUGAAGCAAGCGGCCGGUCUGAGCAUCGUGGAGGCGGGAUCCAUCUCCGUAAUCAGCGCACCGCAGACAAUAGCGAAUUUACGCUUCACCACCGGUGAGAGCUUCGCUCCGGACCUGGCCAACUCCAGCUCAGCUGCCUUCCAGAACAGAUCUUUGCUUGUUAAAAACGAGCUCGAACCGUUUUUCACCGCCGACUUCUCCCCGAACUUCGCUGGUCUGACUGUGAGGAACUUCAGCCAAGGAUCCAUCAUCCACGACACUGAUCUGACCUUCACGGAAAACGCCACGCUCCCCAACAGCACAGCCAUCCUCAACACAAUGUUGAGGGCAGCAAGAAGCGGCAACUUGACCUUCAGCAUUGUCCAAAUCAAUGGCUCAGAUGUGACGGCCACGUCUCCCAGCCCGACUCCCGCCUCCGCCGCUGCCGACCGCAGGGUCCACCUGCUCACUGCCGCCAGCCUGGUCACCAUGGCGAUGCUCUCACGCUGUCAAUCAUUUUAACCGACAAUACAAGAAAUAGAACUUUAAAAAUAUUCUGUUUUAAUGAAUGCUUUUCUAUUUUAUUGCCUGUACUACAUUAAAUUCAUACACGUGUGUCGCUCGAACAUGAACGUCAGCAGAUACAGACGCUUCAUCCACCUCCAGGCUUGCAGGUCCAAGGCCGAUUCCAGAUGUACAGAGUAUUAGGGCACAUUUCUUUAUGGGUGUUAAAGGAGAGUUAUGGUAAUAAUCCCCUCACAUCCUCACACCUAGUCCUGUAAUGGACGUCAUAUGUUGCUGCAACGUUACUGCAACGUUGCUGAUCUUUCAGGAAAUAAAACUGCUGAAUGCAUUUUAGAUACA
ensembl:lncRNA